rnacentral:rRNA from 2 species
AGUGGCGGACGGGUGAGUAAUGUCUGGGAAACUGCCUGAUGGAGGGGGAUAACUACUGGAAACGGUGGCUAAUACCGCAUAACGUCGCAAGACCAAAGAGGGGGACCUUCGGGCCUCUUGCCAUCAGAUGUGCCCAGAUGGGAUUAGCUUGUUGGUGAGGUAACGGCUCACCAAGGCGACGAUCCCUAGCUGGUCUGAGAGGAUGACCAGCCACACUGGAACUGAGACACGGUCCAGACUCCUACGGGAGGCAGCAGUGGGGAAUAUUGCACAAUGGGCGCAAGCCUGAUGCAGCCAUGCCGCGUGUAUGAAGAAGGCCUUCGGGUUGUAAAGUACUU